GGGAGGAGGAGGGCUGCUAAGGGCUGGGCAAAGUAGCCGCACGGCCCAGGGCGGGGAUGGGGCUGUGCUAUCCCCGGCCACAUCACCAGCUGCUUCCACUCCGGGUCCGGAUUUGCCUCUCCGCACCCGGCCGGAGGGUGCAGUGUCCACUUGCCGAGACCCUCUGGGUUAACGAUGACUUGGAGGCAGCAGACUCGUGAAGGAGGCAGGGGAGAGAUAUUCACUAAGUUGGCAAUGUCGGGGUUAACUGCGAAUAGAUUAGGGGCAGGAUGCUGGGAGGACGGCGUCCCUCGACCACCCUAUUUCUUUUCACUUCGGUCUCAGAUCCUGGGGGGACCAGGUAGCCCAGUAGUUUAGAGAUGGAAGAAUUCAGAAGAAUCCCAGACCCCAAACCCUGAACCUUGGCCUCCCAACACCCAGAGCUGUGUGACAGUGCCCUGGCUUUACUGGACCAGGUGGCAAAUGUAAGACUAGGGAAGUGCCCUACCUGGGAGAGGGGCUAAAGCAAGUAGGAAUCAAGUUAGAGCAGAGGAGUAGGGAAUCUUUUAAAGAAAAAAAGCAAAAUCGGUCCUGCUUCCUUGCAGGAGAGAACUCCCAGGAGAGACUCUCCCUUAAGCAGAGGCUCUGCCUGUAAGCGGUGCCAAUGGCAGGCUGGGACAGGUGCUGGGCUCUCCCAGGGGGCUCAGGGAUUCAUUUCUGGUGAUGUCCAACCGUCAGUCCCCAGCCCACACCAAGGCUGUCUCCUUCCACUCCCCUUACUGGCCUUUGUUCUCUCUCUCAGAAACUGAUGCUCAUUUCCAUUGGUGAAAGUUGCAAUUAAUGCUCUCAUCUUCAUAAAGUGAACACAGAACCCCGGCCCCAGGAUCCAACCUGUGACCAUCCCACCCGACAAUGACUGUUCCUCCUAAACGCAGAGAAGGAAAUUAACUCCGUUCUAAUUAGGGUGUGAUUUUGAAAACAGCCUUCAGGGGACAGAAGAGAGGCUGAUCGACUCCUUUGCAGAAUGAAGCCCGGAAGGACAUGGGGUGGCUGGGGGCCCUAAGGAAUCCCCCAGUCCUGUUUGAAGUCGGCAAGUCCGAACAGCGGGCGCAGCCCAGGGGGGAGACCGCCACUUGGAAUCCAACCGCCCUCCAUCCCCGGCUCCAGCAUUCUUCCAUCAUUGCCCGCUGUCUCUGAGAUCAAACAGAACAAGACUGCUAAACGGACUUUUUCCCCCUCCUUUCCUUUAGUCUCUUCCUCUCUCACUCCGGGGCCCCCAGUUUUCUGAGGAACUUAAAUCAUUACUGAAAGACGUCUAGGUUCAUAGACACCAAACCCUUUCAAAGAGAGGUGUGGGCACCCAAGAGUGAAGCUCAGAAAAGCACAGAGGAAACGUUUACAGGUCCAAGAUUUAGCCAAUCCCAUAUUCAGAGAAAUGCUCAGCUGCCUUGCCAGGCCUCAUCUUCCUUGUCUGCCGGCUCCUUGGGGCUAGGCUGUCCAUAGGGCCCCAUUUCUGGAUUCUCUGUGAGCCCCCAACACUCUUUGUGACCUUUAGUUAUGUCAUAGAUAGGUCCUGUGUCCUUGGUAAACAGCACUUCCCAGUUCAACCAUGUGCAUCUCUCUGACGAAUGCUCUUUCCUUCAGAAGACUUUCCUCAACCCUCCAUGCCUGGAUAGGACCACUCCUUCCUCUGGAUCACUGUUUUCUUUUGACCUUGCAUUAUAUUAUCUAAGUUUUAUCUUCCUUGUACAAGAAUAUAUAUUCCUUGAAGGUGAGAUUAUUAUUCAGUUUUGCACCUCUCACAAUACACAACAUUGUACACUGUAGGUGGUGAACAAAUGUUUAAUGAGAAAUAGAGCAUGUCUCUUGAUCUGACAUGGAGUCUAAUUACAUAGUUAUUACUCUCAGCCCUCAACAGGAAACAAGUUUUAUGUUAUGGAGAAAGGAUUCUUCUGCAUAAUAAAAAUACAGUUGUAUCCCUGCUGCCUU